UACGGAGGGUGCAAGCGUUGUCCGGAUUUAUUGGGUUUAAAGGGUGCGUAGGUGGCCCGUUAAGUCCGGGGUGAAAGCCCACUGCUCAACAGUGGAACUGCCCUGGAUACUGACGGGCUUGAGUCCAGACGAGGUUGGCGGAAUGGAUGGUGUAGCGGUGAAAUGCAUAGAUACCAUCCAGAACCCCGAUUGCGUAGGCAGCUGACUAGGCUGGUACUGACACUGAGGCACGAAAGCGUGGGGGAGCGAACAGG
rnacentral:rRNA from 1 species